rnacentral:pre_miRNA from 1 species
CAAAUACUCCUUCCGUCCCAAAAUUCUUGUCUUAAAUUUGUAUAAAUACGAUCAAGUCACGUUAUCUAGACAAAUCUAAGACAAGAAUUUUGGGACGGAGGGGACUUG